rnacentral:sRNA from 1 species
CGUUUUCCUGCCCAGUACCUGAAGCUGCGGGAGCGAAUGCAGAUACAGAAGGAGAUGGAGCGGCUGCGCUUCCUACUGUCGGAUCAGUCACUGCUGCUGCUUCCUGAGUACCAUCAGCGAGUAGAGGUGGGUGGGGCAGUGGUUGGGGCAGGGGGGCUAGGGGACAGCAGUGUGUCCAAUGCCCACCCUUUUUCUUGCAGGUGCUCCGAACCCUGGGUUACGUGGACGAGGCGGGCACUGUGAAGCUGGCAGGGCGGGUGGCUUGUGCCAUGAGCAGCCAUGAGUUGCUCCUCACUGAGCUCAUGUUUGACAAUGCACUGAGCACCCUGCGGCCUGAGGAGAUUGCUGCCUUGCUCUCUGGCCUGGUCUGCCAGAGCCCUGGGGACGCUGGGGAUCAGCUCCCAAACACCCUCAAGCAGGGAAUAGAACGUGUCCGGGCUGUGGCCAAGCGGAUUGCCCUUCUCCGAGUUGGCAGGGCUCUCAGGGACCCCUGAGGGCCUGGUGGUCCGCUGCAUUCAGCGCCUGGCUG